rnacentral:rRNA from 1 species
GACGAACGCUGGCGGCGUGCUUAACACAUGCAAGUCGAACGGAAAGGCCCUGCUUUUGUGGGGUGCUCGAGUGGCGACCGGGUGAGUAACACGUGAGUAACCUGCCCUUGACUUUGGGAUAACUUCAGGAAACUGGGGCUAAUACCGGAUAGGAGCUCCUGCUGCAUGGUGGGGGUUGGAAAGUUUCGGCGGUUGGGGAUGGACUCGCGGCUUAUCAGCUUGUUGGUUGGGUAGUGGCUUACCAAGGCUUUGAGGGGUAGCCGGCCUGGGAGGGUGACCGGACCCAUUGCGACUGGGAUGCGGCCCAGACUCCUACGGGAGGCAGCGGUGGGGAAGAUUGCACAGUGGGCGGAAGGCUGAUGCAGCAACGCCGCGUGCGGGAUGACGGCCUUCGGGUUGUAUACCGCUUUCGCCUGAGACGAAGCGUGAGUGACGGUAAUGGGUAAAGAAGCACCGGCUAACUACGUG